AUUGAACGCUGGCGGCACGCCUAACACAUGCAAGUCGAGCGGCAGCGGGAUUAGUAGCAAUACUAAUUGCCGGCGAGCGGCGGACGGGUGAGUAACGCGUAGGAACUUGCCUUUAAGAGGGGGAUAACCAGAGGAAACUUUGGCUAAUCCCGCAUAAACUCGAGAGAGAAAAGCUGCCCGCAAGGGUGGCGCUUAAAGAGAGGCCUGCGUCCGAUUAGCUAGUUGGUGAGGUAAAGGCUUACCAAGGCGAUGACCGGUAACUGGUCUGAGAGGACGACCAGUCACACUGGGACUGAGACACGGCCCAGACUCCUACGGGAGGCAGCAGUGGGGAAUAUUGGACAAUGGGGGCAACCCUGAUCCAGCAAUGCCGCGUGAGUGAUGAAGGAAUUCGUUCCGUAAAGCUCUUUUGUUUAUGACGAACGUGCGAGUUGUGAAUAAUGACUUGUAAUGACGGUAGUAAACGAAUAAGCCACGGGUAACUACGUGCCAGCCGCCGCCGUAA
rnacentral:rRNA from 1 species